rnacentral:rRNA from 1 species
CGGCGGACGGGUGAGUAACACGUGGAUAACCUACCUAUAAGACUGGGAUAACUUCGGGAAACCGGAGCUAAUACCGGAUAAUAUAUUGAACCGCAUGGUUCAAUAGUGAAAGACGGUUUUGCUGUCACUUAUAGAUGGAUCCGCGCCGCAUUAGCUAGUUGGUAAGGUAACGGCUUACCAAGGCAACGAUGCGUAGCCGACCUGAGAGGGUGAUCGGCCACACUGGAACUGAGACACGGUCCAU